AACUAGGGUUUUAUGGCUUUGUACACCUCUAUGUAAGCACCAGACAAGUGUACCAUUCUCUUCUUCAUUUGCGGUCUUCGCAAUGGAAGCGGUGCAUCUUUAACAGACGUCUGUGUUAGGUUCAAAGCACUUGCGAGUUUUCUCUUCUCUUCUGCUAUUAGGUAUUAUUAGUCAGACUCUGCACGUUGCCUCCCGGGCUUUUCUGAAGUUAAUCUAGUGAAGGUGAAUACCCCAAUGCAUGUGCUAAACUUCGCCGUUUAGUGUUGCAGUUUAGACUUUUCUCCUUUACACGGCUGAUCUGUGUCAAAUCAACGGCUACAUCUUCUCCUC
rnacentral:misc_RNA from 1 species